rnacentral:rRNA from 1 species
AGAGCGGUCGAAGGUGGGACUGGCGAUUGGGACGAAGUCGUAACAAGGUAGCCGUACCGGAAGGUGCGGCUGGAUCACCUCCUUUCUAAGGAG